rnacentral:rRNA from 1 species
UACUAUACUAAAUGUAAAAAAAUUUUACUAGAAUAUUAAUAGCUAUGAUCUUUAAGCUUAAAGAAUUUGGCGGUAGCUCAGUCUGGUUAGAGGAACCUGUUUUUGAAUUGAUACACCACAAAACAUCUUACUUAUUUUUAUAAAAUUAAUUUGUAUACCGUCAUUAUUAGAUAAUUUAUUUAAAAAUCAUUAUUAUUUUUUAUAAAAUUACAAAAAUUAGAUCAAGGUGCAGUUAAUAAAUAAGUUGAAAUGGGUUACAAUAAUAUAAAAUUAAAUGGAAAUAUUUGUGAAAUAAAAUAUUGAAGGAGGAUUUAAUUGUAAUAAAAUUUUAAUAAGGUCAAAAGAUAUUAAGCUCUGAGAUAU